AGAACGAACGCUGGCGGCAUGCCUAACACAUGCAAGUCGAACGAGACCUUCGGGUCUAGUGGCGCACGGGUGCGUAACGCGUGGGAAUCUGCCCUUGGGUUCGGAAUAACAGCGAGAAAUUGCUGCUAAUACCGGAUGAUGACGUAAGUCCAAAGAUUUAUCGCCCAAGGAUGAGCCCGCGUAGGAUUAGCUUGUUGGUGAGGUAAGAGCUCACCAAGGCGACGAUCCUUAGCUGGUCUGAGAGGAUGAUCAGCCACACUGGGACUGAGACACGGCCCAGACUCCUACGGGAGGCAGCAGUGGGAAUUUGGACAAUGGGCGAAAGCCUGAUCAGCCAUGCCGCGUGCAGGAUGAAGGCCUUACGGGUUGU
rnacentral:rRNA from 1 species